GAUGAACGCUGGCGGCGUGCCUAAUACAUGCAAGUCGAGCGAACGGACGCGAAGCUUGCUUCUCUGAUGUUAGCGGCGGACGGGUGAGUAACACGUGGAUCCCCUCCCUAUCAGUCUGGGAUCACUUCGGGAAACCGGAGCUAAUACCGGAUGAUCUUUUGAACCGCAUGGUUCAAAAGUGAAAGACGGUCUUGCUGUCACUUAUCGCUGGAUCUGCGCUGCAUUAGCUAGUUGGUACGGUCACGGCUUACCAAGGCAACGAUGCAUAGACGACCUGAGAGGGUGAUCGGCCACAUGGGAACGGAGACACGGACCAGAGUCCUACGGGAGGCAGCAGUAGGGAAUCUGACGCAAUGGGCGAAAGCCUGACGGAGCAACGCGGAGUGAGAGAUGAAGGUCUUGGGAGCGGAAAACUCUGUUAUGAGGGAAGAACAUAUGUGGAAGGAACUGUGCACAGCUUGACGGUACCUAAUCAGAAAGCAACGGCUAACUACGUG
rnacentral:rRNA from 1 species